AUGGCGCGACCGGCCUCCUGCAGGGUUUCUCUCUACGCGGACGAUGCUGGCAUCUUCGCUAACCCGGUCAAAGAGGAGAUCGACGCCAUCGCUCGGAUCCUUGCCUGUUUUGGGGAUGCAUCCGGCCUCAUCACAAAUGUCAGCAAGACCGAGGUGUUUCCCAUUCGCUGCCAAGACAUUGAUCUCUCGGCCAUCCUUUCGGCCUUCCCGGCCAAGCUGGCCUCGUUCCCCGGCCGAUACCUGGGUCUCCCACUACAUACCAGGCGACUCAGAAGGGUUGACCUCCAACCUCUUUUGGACAAGGCUAUGGGCAGGUUGCCGGGCUGGAAGGGGAAGAAUCUGGCGCGUCCGGGCAGGGUCUCCCUUGCAAAGUCCGUGUUGUGCGCCAUCGCAAAUCAUCACCUCAUUGCGCUAUCGCUCCCCACCUGGGCAAUCCAGAAGCUCAGUAAAAUCACUCGUAACUUCAUCUGGUGUGGGGAAGACUCAGAAAACGCGUCUGGUGGACACUCUCUGGUCAACUGGAAGACUGUCUGCCGGCCUAGGCCCAUGGGGGGCCUGGGUAUCACAGACCUCGAGAGAUUUGGUCGGGCGCUCCGUCUUCGCUGGCCUUGGCUUAUGUGGACUGAUCCUGACCGACAAUGGGUGGGA
rnacentral:rRNA from 1 species